UGUUUUUUUUCCCCUAGUAAUCUACAGAAAGUUGAAUUCUCUGCAUGGUGUGAGAGUGCUGAGGAUCGUCUUAGGAAGUAUGCCUAAUAUCAGCUCUUCCUGCCCAUCCAAGCUAGCUUAAAUGAUCUUCCACGAACCAGUGGUUCCCAAAUUCUUCAACAUGAUCUUCGGAGUUUAUAUGUCUCAACUUCCCCAUGACGGACAGCUGGUUUAAGAAGUGUGGAAUCUUAUUGAGUACUUGUGAAACAGGCUGGUUAGCUCACUCUUCUCCUCUCCUCCACCCUCCCUUUCCUUCUCCCCUCCCCUCCCCUCCCCUCCUCAUAUGCUAUCAUCCUUAGUUUUUUGAAACAUUCUCUCUAUAUGUAGCUCAUUCUUUCUGGAACUCCUGUUCCUCAUUUUCAGGAGUUCUAGGUUUAUAAGUAUCACCUCCUCUACCUGGCUGCCAUUUUUGUCUCCUGUUCACCAUAAGACAUUUGUACACAUACACACAUUUAUCCAGUGGAUCAGUUCUCAGUAAAAAUAUAGAAUCGAACUGAUAGUAACGAAAGAAGGACUGCCAUGCUACAUAUAUAUCUAUAUUUACAAAUUGAUUUUUUCCUUUCAAAACUUUUUUUUUCAUCCUUUCUCUAAACCUGAAUACAUAUUUUCUCAAAAACCUUCCUAGUGUUUGUAUGUUUGUUCGUCUGAUUCAUAAGUAUAGACAGUGGUUCUUUUGUCUAAACAUGAGACUCCGGAGAAUCGUGAAGGGCAUUUUUACUACAAUAAGCAAAAGUAAGUCAGAAGUUGUCUAUAAAGAAUGUAUGAACUGUGUGGCCAUCAGAGGCUGACUUUUGAGAGGCUGUGAAUAGGGUCAGUGGUUAGCAGGGUACUUCCUGGAACUGGACGGAAUCCAAGAACUGUAGACACCUUGCAUCAAAGAGUGAUCUCUACAAGUGCUAAACUCUGCAACCUCGACUUGUCUCAUGGACUCGCUGCAUAACACUGGUCACUAAUUGGCUGCAACUGCUCCAGACAGCCCUGCACCGGCCAACAGAAUGAAUGCCUCUCUCUGCCCUUAGGAAAUCUGCCUCCACAGGUGAGGUUUGGGGCCAUGUGUAAAGCAGGGUGUCAAGUUUGUUUUCUUGUUAUUUGGACAGUGGUAUAAAUAAAGCAUUUCAACAUGCUCAGCAA